AAUGCAGAGUAUUGGGGCAGUAUACAUGCUGCUGUAAAUGGACUUCAAAGCCUCUCUGCAUCACUCUGGGUGUGAAUAAAGUCAACUAAUGAACUUGACAACCCUGGACAAAAGAAGCUGCAAAAUCUGCAUGCAUCCCAGUCUAGGUGAGGCCAGUGGGAUCUCCAUGGGCCACAGUGAAGAAAUAUCUUUUACCUGUGAUAAUAUCUUCAAUGGCACCAUCUUUUCCCUCAUAUACAUGUCUGUUAUCUUUAACUUGUCGUCUUCUUAAUUCUGCAAUUAACUCUUGCUGCUGCCUCUUUGAUUUAUGAGAAGGAGACUGAGAAGAAAGAAGGGCAGAGAUUAGUGAGGCCAGCACCCAUUAGGAGUUUGUGAAAAUCCAAAAUGUGCCUGAGCAUUAUGUUACUAAUAAGCAGCUUCGGCCAAAAACACACACACAUCCCACAUUCUGCUCAGUUGCAGAGAACUCAAGCUUCUGGGAAGGAAACAAAAACUUCCACUGACGAACACACAAAACUUCACCUGGCAGCAACAAGAAGGCUGGAGUCUACGGCAACAAGAGGCAACUGGUAAUGACCAUAGAUGUCUUAAACUGUGUUGCCAAGGAUCACAAUGAAGAAAACUUUGGACUGCCAGCCUUUAUGCUCUUUACCUACUAACGAGGUUGCCCUCCAUGAAAUGUUCCCUCCAUUCCUGCUAGCAAGUCCCUCCAGCUAUCAAGGCCAGCACCAAUGGGCAUCUGCAUAAAGCCUUCUCUGGAUGCUAAGCCCUCUGGUCACUGGGUCAUCUGGUGUGGCCUCUCUGUAUAUCCAACUAAGUUCCAGAUGUCUAUACGCUUGGAUAUGCUACACAAACAUGCUCUUAGCCUCAUUCCAGUGGUUGCAGAACAAAGUAAUCAAUGAGCAUAUUUCCAUUUGCCAAGUGUCCAGGCACCAGAAGGAAGUGGUCAGGAUCCUGGGCACACCUGGCUUGCUGGUCCUUUGUAUGGCUUGCUCUGAAGAGCCCUCUCA
rnacentral:lncRNA from 1 species